GACGAACGCUGGCGGCGUGCUUAACACAUGCAAGUCGAACGGAAAGGCCCUGCUUUUGUGGGGUGCUCGAGUGGCGAAAGGGUGAGUAACACGUGAGUAACCUGCCCUUGACUUUGGGAUAACUUCAGGAAACUGGGGCUCAUACCGGAUAGGAGCUCCUGCUGCAUGGUGGGGGUUGGAAAGUUUCGGCGGUUGGGGCUGGACUCGCGGCUUAUCAGCUUGUUGGUGGGGUAGUGGCUUACCAAGGCUUUGACGGGUAGCCGGCCUGAGAGGGUGACCGGCCACAUUGGGACUGAGAUACGGCCCAGACUCCUACGGGAGGCAGCAGUGGGGAAUAUUGCACAAUGGGCGGAAGCCUGAUGCAGCAACGCCGCGUGCGGGAUGACGGCCUUCGGGUUGUAAACCGCUUUCGCCUGUGACGAAGCGUGAGUGACGGUAAUGGGUAAAGAAGCACCGGCUAACUACGUG
rnacentral:rRNA from 1 species